rfam:Myotis lucifugus cont2.5512, whole genome shotgun sequence.
GAGACACCCUUAGGGAGCAGGACUUGCUUCAGUGGGGCUUUGGUGUUCACUUAGUCUGCCCCUUAUGUGUGUUGCU